AUUGAACGCUGGCGGAAUGCUUUACACAUGCAAGUCGAACGGCAGCACGGGUGCUUGCACCUGGUGGCGAGUGGCGAACGGGUGAGUAAUACGUCGGAACGUACCCAGUCGUGGGGGAUAACGUAGCGAAAGUUACGCUAAUACCGCAUACGUCCUGAGGGAGAAAGCGGGGGACCGUAAGGCCUCGCGCGAUUGGAGCGGCCGAUGGCGGAUUAGCUAGUUGGUGGGGUAAAGGCCUACCAAGGCGACGAUCCGUAGCGGGUCUGAGAGGACGGCCCGCCACACUGGAACUGAGACACGGUCCAGACUCCUACGGGAGGCAGCAGUGGGGAAUUUUGGACAAUGGGCGAAAGCCUGAUCCAGCCAUUCCGCGUGAGUGAAGAAGGCCUUCGGGUUGUAAAGCUCUUUCGGCAGGGAAGAAACGGCUUGGGAUAAUACCCCGGGCUAACGACGGUACCUGAAGAAGAAGCACCGGCUAACUACGUGCCAGCCGCCGCGGUAA
rnacentral:rRNA from 1 species